rnacentral:rRNA from 1 species
UACUUUACCUAGCGGCGGACGGGUGAGUAAUGCUUAGGAAUCUGCCUAUUAGUGGGGGACAACAUUUCGAAAGGGAUGCUAAUACCGCAUACGUCCUACGGGAGAAAGCAGGGGACCUUCGGGCCUUGCGCUAAUAGAUGAGCCUAAGUCGGAUUAGCUAGUUGGUGGGGUAAAGGCCUACCAAGGCGACGAUCUGUAGCGGGUCUGAGAGGAUGAUCCGCCACACUGGGACUGAGACACGGCCCAGACUCCUACGGGAGGCAGCAGUGGGGAAUAUUGGACAAUGGGGGGAACUCUGAUCCAGCCAUGCCGCGUGUGUGAAGAAGGCCUUUUGGUUGUAAAGCACUUUAAGCGAGGAGGAGGCUACCGAGAUUAAUACUCUUGGAUAGUGGACGUUACUCGCAGAAUAAGCACCGGCUAACUCUGUGCCAGCAGCCGCGGUAAUACAGAGGGUGCAAGCGUUAAUCGGAUUUACUGGGCGUAAAGCGCGCGUAGGUGGCCAAUUAAGUCAAAUGUGAAAUCCCCGAGCUUAACUUGGGAAUUGCAUUCGAUACUGGUUGGCUAGAGUAUGGGAGAGGAUGGUAGAAUUCCAGGUGUAGCGGUGAAAUGCGUAGAGAUCUGGAGGAAUACCGAUGGCGAAGGCAGCCAUCUGGCCUAAUACUGACACUGAGGUGCGAAAGCAUGGGGAGCAAACAGGAUUAGAUACCCUGGUAGUCCAUGCCGUAAACGAUGUCUACUAGCCGUUGGGGCCUUUGAGGCUUUAGUGGCGCAACUAACGCGAUAAGUAGACCGCCUGGGGAG